rnacentral:rRNA from 1 species
ACGCACGCUGGCGGCGUGCUUAACACCUGCCAGUCGAACGGAAAGGCCCUGCUUUUGUGGGGUGCUCGAGUGGCGAACGGGUGAGUAACACGUGAGUAACCUGCCCUUGACUUUGGGAUAACUUCAGGAAACUGGGGCUAAUACCGGCUAGGAGCUCCUGCUGCAUGGUGGGGGUUGGAAAGUUUCGGCGGUUGGGGAUGGACUCGCGGCUUAUCAGCUUGUUGGUGGGGUAGUGGCUUACCAAGGCUUUGACGGGUAGCCGGCCUGAGAGGGUGACCGGCCACAUUGGGACUGAGAUACGGCCCAGACUCCUACGGGAGGCAGCAGUGGGGAAUAUUGCACAAUGGGCGGAAGCCUGAUGCAGCAACGCCGCGUGCGGGAUGACGGCCUUCGGGUUGUAAACCGCUUUCGCCUGUGACGAAGCGUGAGUGACGGUAAUGGGUAAAGAAGCACCGGCUAACUACGUG